rnacentral:tRNA from 1 species
GGUAGUGUGUCCUAGUGGGUAGAGCACUGAACUGAGACUUGAGAGACCUAGGUUCUAUUCCUGGCUCUGCCA